GACGAACGCUGGCGGCGUGCUUAACACAUGCAAGUCGAACGGAAAGGCCCUGCUUUUGUGGGGUGCUCGAGUGGCGAACGGGUGAGUAACACGUGAGUAACCUGCCCUUGACUUUGGGAUAACUUCAGGAAACUGGGGCUAAUACCGGAUAGGAGCUCCUGCUGCAUGGUGGGGGUUGGAAAGUUUCGGCGGUUGUGGAUGGACUCGCGGCUUAUCAGCUUGUUGGUGGGGUAGUGGCUUACCAAGGCUUUGACGGGUAGCCGGCCUGAGAGGGUGACCGGCCACAUUGGGACUGAGAUACGGCCCAGACUCCUACGGGAGGCAGCGGGGGAGAAUAUUGCACAAUGGGCGGAAGCCUGAGGCAGCAGCGCCGCGUGCGGGAUGACGGCCUUCGGGUUGUAAACCGCUUUCGCCUGUGACGAAGCGUGAGUGACGGUAAUGGGUAAAGAAGCACCGGCUAACUACGUG
rnacentral:rRNA from 1 species